GUUCUGUGUUUAAGUCUUUAGCGUACGGAUUGGCAAGCCGUCCGAAUUUUUUAGGUUAGGAGAGAAAAGGUCAGGCCUAAAUUUGGGAGGCAGAACUCGGAUGGCAGGAGAGAAGACGAACGUGAGAGGAGAGCUUGGAAGCAGAGGUUCCGAGGCGACAAGAGCAGGCAGGUGUCACGCCAGGCUGUGGCAGCAGGACGGGACAGGAAGCGGUGUCCCCAGAGCCUGGCGACCGCCGAGAGGUCCUGGUCCUGCCGGCUGACUGAUCAGACAGAUUCCCAGGGAAUCCGGGAGGGAGAGAGGCGGGUUGGAUGGAGGGGGAGUUCAGGUGUGACACGCUGACUCUGGUGCGGUGACAGGACGCGGCUGCGCGGACCCCCAGGUAUUUGGAAACGUAGGUCCGGGGCGCCCGGGAGAGCUCAGGGCUGGAGGCGCACUUGGGGAGCCACGGAUGCGCUCCCAGAGCGCGCCUAAGAGGGGCAGGUGUGUGUUUGCGGGGGGUGCUGGGCAAGCAGGAGGCUCGAGGGGCGCCCACCGCAGGGAAGGGGAAGUCAGCGCAGGAGCCUGAGGAGGAGAAGCUGCGAGAGUGCGUUUCUGAGGAACUCCGAGGGUGCGAGGGCGGAACCCAGGCGUGGCACAGCCGCGCGGAAACGAGGAGCGCGCCCUGGGCGGUCGCCAGGGAGUCCUGAGGGCCCCGCGGUGGGCAGGUGCCUCUGUGCCGGAACCCACGGCAGGCGGAGGCGCGAGCUGAGUCCUGGGUGUGCCAGGGAGAACUGAGGACGCCCCUGAGAAGGCGAAGCUAAAAGUGCCGCGGGAGUCUUGAUGGGGCGAGCACUCGUGGGGGUGGGCGAGGAGAGCACACUCAGCCUGCGUGCUGGCCAGUGGGGCUGAGAUGAAGACUGGCCGGCAAUGGGCUGCCUGUGUCGAGGACAGAAGAGGCUUGGAGAGGGCUGCCUUUUCUCUAGAGGUGGCUGCCCUGUGCACCUACCUCCCUGGGGAAGGGCAGCUCUGUGGCGUCAGUGAUCUGCAUAAAGAAAGCUGGGUUUUGAGACCUUCAAAGACCGGGCGAUUUUUCCUGGGGUCACACGGCUUGACGCCCGUACUUUUCUGUGAAGUGAAAGGCUCGCAGCAUCUUUCAGGAAUCUCUAGAAGAAAAUAUGUUGGAAUUUCUAAGCUUUACAGAGAAACCGUCACUCCCUAAAACAUUGAGUAUAGAACGUUCUUGCUUCCUGCAACCUUAAAGUGAGCCUGGGGCUGGUAAGGUGGCUUCUGCAGGUAAUCCCAGCGUGUGGGAGGCUCAGGUCGGAGGAUCGUCCGAAUCCUGAAGUCCAGGGAUUUCAGGAUCACAUCACUGCACUGGGGCAGCCUGGGCAGCACAGCGUCCAAAGAAAUUUAUGAAAGUGAAGUCAGCGUGAGGAGGAGGCGUGUGGAAGGGAAGGAGUCCGUGCUGCUCCUGCCUGUGCCCCUGGGCAGGUGGAGUUAAUCGUCUGG